GCUGAGGAUGUGGCUUAGUUGGUAGAGCACUUGCCUAGCGUACAUGAAGUCCUGGGAUUAAUCCCCAGCACAGUA
rnacentral:tRNA from 1 species